rnacentral:rRNA from 1 species
AUUGAACGCUGGCGGCAUGCUUUACACAUGCAAGUCGAGCGGUAACAGGCCUUCGGGUGCUGACGAGUGGCGAACGGGUGAGUAAUGCAUCGGAACGUACCCAGAGGUGGGGGAUAACGCAGCGAAAGCUGUGCUAAUACCGCAUGUGAUCUGAGGAUGAAAGCGGGGGACCGAGCAGCAAUGUUUGGCCUCGCGCCUUUGGAGCUGCCGAUGUCGGAUUAGCUAGUUGGUGGGGUAAAGGCCUACCAAGGCGACGAUCCGUAGCUGGUCUGAGAGGACGACCAGCCACACUGGGACUGAGACACGGCCCAGACUCCUACGGGAGGCAGCAGUGGGGAAUUUUGGACAAUGGGCGCAAGCCUGAUCCAGCAAUGCCGCGUGCGGGAAGAAGGCCUUCGGGUUGUAAACCGCUUUUGGCAGGAACGAAACGGUGUCCGCUAAUACCGGGCGCUAAUGACGGUACCUGCAGAAUAAGCACCGGCUAACUACGUG